ensembl:lncRNA
AUUAUGCUAAAUAAUUAUUCACCAAACAAAAUACCAGUGAUAUUCUUUACUAGUCACGAAUUACAAACUCAACAAGCGUAUUAUUACGUUACAGUUUUUAUAUUAGGAAAGAAAAACUAAAUCGCACACACAUCUUAUUGUCUCUCUUAGAAUUUUCUCUGCUUAUUUUACUUAAGAUUAAGAUUCAACAAUCAGGAGAGGGAAACAGUGCCCUACCAAUGCUGUUUAACGUAGAGGUGGGCAGCUGUUGACCUCAACUGGGGAUGUCGUCGGGCGGUGGAAGGAGUACUUUGAGGAUCUCCUCAAUCCCGCCGUCACGUCUUCCAUUGAAGAAGCAGAGUAUGAGGGCUCAGAGGUGGACUCGUCCAUCACCCAGGCUGAAGUCACAGAGGUAGUCAAGAAACUCCUCGGUGGCAAGGCACCGGGGGUGGAUGAGAUCCGCCCUGAGUACCUCAAGUCUCUGGAUGUUGUGGGGAUGUCUUGGUUGACACGCCUGUGCAACAUCGCGUGGCGAUCGGGGACAGUGCCUCUGGGAUGGCAGACCGGGGUGGUGGACCGGGGGGUGUGUUCCAACUACAGGGGGAUCACACUUCUCAGCCUACCCGGGAAAGUCUAUGCCAGGGUACUGGAGAGGAGAAUACGGCCGAUAGUAGAACCUCGGAUUCAGGAGGAACAGUGUGGUUUUCGUCCGGGCCAUGGAACACUGGACCAGCUCUAUACCCUCUACGGGGUGUUGGAGGGUUCAUGGGAGUUGGCCCAACCAGUCCACAUGUGUUUUGUGGAUUUGGAGAAGGCAUUUGACUGUGUCCCUCCCGGCAUCCUGUGGAGGGUGCUUUGGGAAUAUGGGGUCCUGUGUCCUUUUUUAUAAAAAAUAAAUUAACCUGGAAAAUACUCGUUGAGAUUAAAAAUCUCUUUUUCAAGAGUGUCCUGGCCAUGACAGGCAGCAGUACAACCAUACAUACAACACAGAAUACACAGAAUCGGAAAAGGGUGGCUUGCCCACUUCAGGUUGGUGGAGAGUGCCUGCUUCAAGUGGAGGAGUUUAAAUAUCUAGGGGUCUUGUUCAUGAGUGAGGGAAGAUGGAACGGGAGAUUGACAGACGGAUCGGUGCAGCUUCUGCAGUAAUGCGGUCGAUGUAUCAGUCUGUCGUGGUGAAGAAAGAGCUGAGCCGCAAGGCGAAGCUCUCGGUCAAUCUACGUUCCUACUCUCACCUAUGGUCAUGACCGAAAGGACAAGAUCCCGGAUACAGGCGGCCGAAAUGAACUUUCUCCGCAGGGUGGCUGGGCGAUCCCUUAGAGAUAGGGUGAGAAGCUCGGUCACCCGGGAGGAGCUCAGAGUAGAGCCGCUGCUCCUCCACAUCGAGAGGGGUCAGCUGAGGUGGCUUGGGCAUCUGUUUCGGAUGCCUCCGGAACGCCUUCCUGGGAAGGUGUUCCGGUCCCGUCCCACCGGGAGGAGACCUCGGGGAAGACCUAGGACACGCUGGAAGGACUAUGUCUCCCGGCUGGCCUGGGAACGCCUCGGUGGAAUUGCAGGGAUUUCUGGCAAGUACUGGCUGUGUGCUACAUGUGACAAUAAUCUCCCGUAUUCUUCAUAUGAAUGGGUUAUGGAGUAGGGUGGCAAGACGGAAGCCUUUUCAUACAAAGAAAAACAUCCAAGCCCGGCGGAAGUUUGCAAAAACAAACAUCAAGUCCCCCAAAAGCACGUGGGAAAAUGUGUUAUGGUCUAAUGAAACCAAGUUUGAACUUUUUGGCCAUAAUUCCAAAAGGUAUGUUUGGCGCAAAAACGACACUGCACAUCACCCAAAGAACACCAUACCCACAGCACACAUCCAAAUCAGCAAAAGCAUGGCUUCACCAGAAGAAGAAUAAAGUUUUGGAAUGGCCCAGCCAGAGCCCAUACCUGAAUCCAAUUGUGGGGUGAUCUGAAAAGGGCUGUGCACAGGAGACGUCCUUGCAAUCUGACAGAUUUGGAGUGCUUUUGAAAAGAACAGUGGGCAAAUUCUGCCAAGUCAAGAUGUGCCAUGCUUAUAGAAUCCUACCCAAAAAGACUGAGUGCUGUAAUAAAAUCAAAAGGUGCUUCAACAAAGUAUUAGUUUAAGGGUGUGCACAGGUUGUGAGUUUUUAAUUUUUCCCUAAGUUAUUUUUUCAAUUGAAUUGUUCACAUUAUGGGUCACAUUAAGAAUGGAAAAAGUUCUGACAUGAUUUAUCUUUGUCUCAUUCAUAUACAUCACAAAAACCUGGCAUUUGAACAGGGGUGUGUAGACUUUUUAUAACCACUGUAUAUAAUGUGAACUCUGUGAGCAGGUCAGACACAUCUCAGACCCAAUUUACAGCAUUUAGUUCACAAUGGCAAAACUAGCAGUGCACUUGAUAGUUUUCUUUGUUUGUGUGACGUGCAGAUGCUGCAGCAUAUCAGCAAUCGUUCUGUAUCAAAUUUACAAAUAAAAUUAAUUUGAUCAACUUUAUCAAUUUUAGUUCUACAAAUAGGUUGUAGCCUAUGUAAUUAUUUCUUUGAAAUAUAUUGUUUUUAUCAAGCAACCAUGCUUUAGGCCUAUGUAGGCUAUUCAUGCGUAUAUCCUUUGAUUUUCACAAACUAGUUGAUAAUGUCUCUUAUUUUACUUUGUACAUCAAAAUGAAGACUAAAUUCUAAUGGCUUUAUCUUUGAAUAAUUUCUGUAAUUUUCAUUUUGUACAUUUGUAGAGCCUAAUAAACGAAUGAAAAUAGUCUAACCUAUGUUCUAAGAAAUAAUCAUUGUAUCAAUGUAUUAUUUUUUUGUACUUUUUUUUCCAUAUGAUAAGACAUUUAAUACAAACACAUUCUUGUAUUUUUCAAGUUCAUUAACCAUUUAAAACAAAUAAAUUAUGUAAUUCUUAAUUGCUUAGACUUUUCCAUAUACGUUUAUGACAACCCAGUAGAAAUGAUGCUCUGGCUGGAUGGUGAUGCUGCAGAGGAGAAUGUCCAUGCUAAUAGGGAUGAUUCAUAUGCUAAUGACGCCAAAAAACGGCAUUCGGCUCAGGCAAAUAUUGAGGGUCUGAAAGGCCUGGCGGUUCUAGUGUUAAGUCCUGUACAUUGAGAGGUGGGACCUCCAUGAAUCGGACCUGUUUGUCCAGUACGUCCAACAGAUGCUCGAUUGGAUUGAGAUCUGGGGAAUUUGGAGGCCAAGUCUACAACUCGUUGUGUUCCUCGAACCAUUCCUGAACCAUUUUUGCUUUGUGGCAGGGCGAAUUAUUCUGCUGAAAGAUGUCAGUGCUAUUAGGGAAUACCAUUGCAUGGUCUGCAACAACACAGGUAGGUGGUAUGUGUCAACAACAACAUGACUGGCAGGACCCAAGGUUUCCAAGCAGAACAUUGCCCAAAGCAUCACACUGCCGCCUUCUUCACUUCCCUUCUUACCAUAGUGCAUUCUGGUGCCAUGUGUUCUCCUGGUAAGCGACACACACACCCGUCCAUCCACGUGAUGUAAAAGAAAAUGUGAUUCAUAAUUGCACAGUGGUCCAGUUCUGAUGCUCACAUGCCCAUUGUAGGUGCUUUCGGCAGUGGACAGAGGUCAGCAUGGGCACCCUGACUGGUCUGCAGCUAUGCAGCCCCAUACGCAACAAACUGUGAUGCACUGUGUUUUCUGAUAUCUAUCAGUACCAGCAUGACCUUUUUCAGCAAUUUGAGCUACAGUAGCUCAUCUGUUGGAUCGGACCACACAGGCCAGCCUUCAUCACUGCAUCACUGAGCCUUGGCAGCCCAUGACCCUGUUGCUGGCUUUUCCUUCCUUGUUCCACUUUUGAUAGGUACUGACCAUUGCAGACCGGGAACACCCAAAAAAAUUCCAGAUUUACCCUAUUUCAGACUGAGGGGCACGUCAGGGUAUAUUCCAGAAAGACAAUGCCAGGCUCAUUGGGCUCAAAUUGUGCAGGAGUGGUUCAGGAGGCAUGAUGAAUCAUUUGCACACAUGAAUAAGCCACCACAGAGUCCUGACCUUAGACCGCUUGAAAGUCUUCGGGAUGUGCUGGAGAAGACCAUACGGAGUGGUUCAACUCUCCCGUCAUCAAUACAAGAUCGGCAAAAAGUUAAAUAAUAAAUGUUGUGAUAUUGCAUAAGGUUGUCAACAGUGCCAUGGCAAAUGUGUGCCAUAAACAAAGCUAAAGGCAUUCCAACAAAAUAUUAGUGUGUAUGACUUUUUUGGGGGGCCAGGCAGUGUACAGGUGCAUCUCAAAACAUUUGAAUAAAAAUAAUGUACUUUUCCACAAUAUUCAAUUUUUUUAAGAUGCACCUGGAUAUGCCAGUAUGUUCCACGUGACAUCAAUACUAUUUAAACAUUUUAGAAUGUCAUGGCUGAGGUAUGACAGGGAUUCUAUUCACUAUUUCACUUUUUCCAUGUUGUUCCAGAAUAAUUUUAGAAUUGACCAAAAGAAAAAUAUCAAUCUACACACAAAUAUCAAUCUAAUGACAACGCAGAAAUGUACUUAAAUGUUUGAAAUAUCACAUUUACAUAAGUAUUACAUAAGGAUUGGAAUUCAGCUCAGCUGUAUCCUGUUUCUAUUGAUUCAACUUUGAGAUGUGUAUAAUACUGGGGACCACCUGUGCUAUGUUGAUUGGACAUGAUUUGGAAAUGCACACACCUGUCUGACUAUGGUCCGACAACUGACAUUGAAUUUCAGAGCAUUUAUUCCCCACAUCGAGAGGGGUCAGCUGAGGUGGCUUGGGCAUCUGUUUCGGAUGCCUCCGGAACGCCUUCCUGGGAAGGUGUUCCGGUCCCGUCCCACCGGGAGGAGACCCCGGAGAAGACCUAGGACACGCUGGAGGGACUAUGUCUCCCGGCUGGCCUGGGAACGCCUCGGUGUCCCCCCGGAAGAGCUGGAGGAAGUGUCUGGGGAGAGGGAAGUCUGGGCAUCUCUGCUUAGACUGCUGCCCCCGCGAACCGGCCCCGGAUAAGCGGAAGAAGAUGGUAUGGUAUGGUAUGGAGCAUUUAUUUCAAAGGAAUUGUCCGUACAGCGCUGAGACAGGAUUGUGUCAAAACAGAUCUGGGAAAGGGUAUCAAAAAAGAUUUUGGAAGCAUGGAAGGUCCCCAUCAACACAGAGGCCUCCAUCAAGUUUGCAACCACCCAGUCUUUCUAAAGCGGGUCGCACAGCCAAAUUGAGUAACCAGGGGGUAAGGGUCUUGGUUAGGGAGGUGAUCAAGAUCCCAUUGUUCACUGAAAGAGCUCCAGUUUCUUUCUGGAGAUGGGAUAAUCCAGCAGACGGACAACCAACUCAGCAGCACUCCAUCAAUAUAGCAUUUAUUGAAUGCCUCUCAUCAGUAAAAUGCAUAUGAUAGCCUGCUUUGGGUUUGCUAAACAGCACCUAAAGGACUCAAACCAUGAGAAGGUCUAGAUUCUGUGGUCUGAUGCCACUAAGAUUGAGGUCUUUGGCCUGAAUGCCAAGCAUCAUGUCUGGAGGAAACUGGACACUGUUCAUCAUGUGGCAGCUGUGGGGUUGCUUUUUGGAGUAGUCAUGACCAAGAAAAGAUGUAAGGAGCAAAGUACAGACAGAUACUUGAAAGAAAUAUGCUCCAAAGUGUUCAGGACCUCAGACUUGGGCAAAGGUUUACCUUCCAGAAGCACAGUUACCCUAAGCACACAGCCAGGAUCAAGAAGGAGUGACAUUAGGAUUACAAGGCAGUUGCCUUACCCACUGACCCACACUAGACAUGGGGUUUUAGGAUGAGUAACAACAAUAGCAAGGUCGCUAGUAUAUGUUAUAAAGACAUUUUAUUGUCAACGUUACAUUGACCUUAGGCAUCACAGCGUUGGGGUUAGGGUUAAGGUUAGAUCUCACAGCACCAGGGUUAAGGUUAGUGUUAAGGUUUGGGCUACGGUUAGGAAACAAAAAAGGUUAGUUUAAGGUUACGUCUCACAGCUCUGGGGUUCAGGUUAGGGUUUGGGUUAAGGUUAGCUAUCACAGCACUGGGGUUAAUGUUAGGGUUAUGGUUUGGGUUAGGAUUACAAAGAAAAUCACUUCAAUCUUAUGUUGUGACAACACCACUCGCCAGGACUAGUUACUGGUUCCCCAGUGGACCAGUGGGUAGCGUGCCUGGGUAAGAUGUGGAAGGUCACCGCUUUUAACCAUGUUGACUGUUUUUUUUUUACUGCACGUAAUAUAUCUCACGAAAUCCCCUGCCUAACAUUUAUGUAAAAUUGUCUACGUCAUCAUUCUGAGACCAGGUUGGUUAUUCGCAAACGUUUCUGACUGAAUCUUUAAAAGCAAUUACAAUCGUAACAGAACAUUGUACUACAUCACAGAGCAAUUACAUCACUAUAUGUUAGUUGUGUAUUUAUGUAAUUUAUGUAUUUCCCCACAGAAUACAUUUUUUAGACUAGCAUGUUUGAAUAUAAACCCAAAACAGGGUGCCAGGCUGCCUCAAACAGGAAGUAAUAAAAAUAUGGGGUUUUGUUGAGAAAAAGGGCAGAGUACAGGAGGUGAGCCGAGGGUUUCGGGAGCAACAGCCGACAACGGAAACGGAUCAACAAUCUACACCAGGACCUGAGACGGAUGACAUACACCUACCCACCUCCCCCUUGGUGUUUGUGCAUGAACCGAACGACCCCAGUACAACAGAAAACUUUCAACAGCUCUGUGAAGAAAUGGGGAGGGCCUACAUAGACCCCAACUAAGGACUAUGGGAGGGGUGGUAAAGUCUGAGGUCAUGUGAUAGUGACAAACCAAUCAUUGAACAAUGUUGUAUAAUAUGUAUAUCCUUCAUACACCAAGGGAGGGAACUGAAAGAUAAUAUUAUGGUAAACCAAUCAUUGUACGGUUACGUGAAAAUGUGUACCUCCCUCAUAAAGGGCCUGAAUAAAAAACUUUAUAAAAGGGCCUGAAGGGUCGGAUAAAGGUGCGCUUUUUGCUGUUGGAGCGAUGACUAGAGAAGAGUUGAUCUGACUCUUGGUUAUUGGACCCUCUUAGAACCCGGCACUGUCUGUACUAGUGAUUGACUAAAUAAAGGUAGGAACUUGUAAACGCUCUGUCUCCUCUUGGUCUCUGUGUAGGUGUGUGAUUGUCAAAUGCUUGAUCAUAAUUCCUCUGCCUCUGAGCUGCAGCCCUGUUUUUACGAGAGAUAGUAGACAGUGAGAUUCCGCAUUCUCCAUAAAUCAACCUUAGACCUUGAGACGAUAUCAGUUUCC